rnacentral:lncRNA from 1 species
CGGGCCGGCCCCGGCGCACCUUUUCUCCCCGCUGCCACAAUGUGAGCGCCCCGCCGCCCAGAUAACCGCCGACUCCCGCUCCACCCCCGCCCUCCCCCACUCCGCCCACUGCCGAGCGCCCAGGACCCUAGGACUUGCCCUUGUGUAUCUGAAGCUUUGGUGACCAGUACUUUGGAAGGCCUUGGGCCACAGGGCUGAGGGCGGCCGACAAGCAAGAGGGUGGAAUUUGCAGUGUCUGUCUCGUCUGGGUGAGACAGUUGGAAGACGUUUCUACCAAUUAUAGUGGUUAAACACUGACUCAACAGCCAACAACCUCAUGAGGUGUCAGAGCCUUCAUUCAUGGACAAGUUUCAAAAUGAG